rnacentral:rRNA from 1 species
AACGAACGCUGGCGGCAGGCUUAACACAUGCAAGUCGAGCGCCCCGCAAGGGGAGCGGCAGACGGGUGAGUAACGCGUGGGAAUCUACCCAUCUCUACGGAAUAACGCAUGGAAACGUGUGCUAAUACCGUAUAUGUCCUUCGGGAGAAAGAUUUAUCGGAGAUGGAUGAGCCCGCGUUGGAUUAGCUAGUUGGUGGGGUAAAGGCCUACCAAGGCGACGAUCCAUAGCUGGUCUGAGAGGAUGAUCAGCCACACUGGGACUGAGACACGGCCCAGACUCCUACGGGAGGCAGCAGUGGGGAAUAUUGGACAAUGGGCGCAAGCCUGAUCCAGCCAUGCCGCGUGAGUGAUGAAGGCCCCAGGGUUGUAAAGCUCUUUCACCGGUGAAGAUAAUGACGGUAACCGGAGAAGAAGCCCCGGCUAACUUCGUGCCAGCCGCCGCAGUAAAAC